rnacentral:rRNA from 1 species
UACGUAGGGCGCAAGCGUUGUCCGGAAUUAUUGGGCGUAAAGGGCUCGUAGGCGGUUUGUCGCGUCGGGUGUGAAAACACUGGGCUUAACUCAGUGCUUGCUUCCGAUACGGGCAGACUAGAGGUAUUCAGGGGAGAACGGAAUUCCUGGUGUAGCGGUGAAAUGCGCAGAUAUCAGGAGGAACACCGGUGGCGAAGGCGGUUCUCUGGGAAUGUCCUGACGCUGAGGAGCGAAAGUGUGGGGAGCGAACAGG